UUGUGACCUGCGGAAGGACAUUG
rnacentral:rRNA from 1 species